GGAUUUCUUUCUGAAAAUACUUACACUUUAGAAGACAGUGUCGUGGUAGGGAUGAGACCUUUUUAAACUAUGAAGUCAUGUUUGAUUUUAAAGAAAAGAUGUUGGUGAAGAAUUAAUGAUACAUCUAGGGCAAAUUUCCCAUUGUUACCAGAUUUAUUUAUGUCUGUUAUCUUAAGUGUGAUGGAGGUUGCUUCUUACAGUUGUUUGUGGUGCAGAAAUUUAGCUGCAGGUCAUAAUGCCUCUUCUCUAUGUGCUGGCACAGAGAUUCUGGAAGCUAUCAAAGCAUCUUUCUUUCAUUUUUCCCACUCUGUCUUGUACAGCCAGGCCAGUUGCCUAUAGGUAACACUUGCAAAUACACCAGUCUGCUGCACUCUUUCUCAGGGACAACUGUGUUUUUCAUGUUUCAAGGCAGCCUGUCCAAGCAUCUGCUAUCUGCUUCAAGGGACUAAAGCCAAUAAGAAUCUAGCCAAGAGUGGCUAGGAAGCAAACAGUUGGUGCCUGGCAUUCUGUGCUGAUGGGACAACUCGACAGAAGUGCACAUUUGCCAUGAUCUUUUCUGGGAGAAGUGCAAUCUUCCCAUUACUGCUAUGGGAACUUCACAUCAAGGCUGAAGAUGUUAUUAUG